AGAAUACAGUGAUGGUAAAAAUAAAAAGCAACAUCCGCUUGACGAAGCCAGGCCGUUAGCGUGUAGCUAUGAUAGCUCAUCAAAUUGGUCUGAACAAAGAUCCGUAUCACCCGCACUUAAAACGUUAGGUCGACAGAAACGGAUAAUUGAGCCCAGUUUGACACCAGCAAGCACUCCAAUUUCUAACAAUAACACUUCACUGAAUAUAGAAGAGGACAUUCCAAAACCCUUCCAUAAAAACGACAUUAGGCAAUUCGAUCGUUGCCAAAACUAUGCCUCCCCAGAAACACCUUUAUCCAAAAUGGACCUCAUGAUACCGCCAACGACGGAAGCUGCUGAAACUUUGUUGAGCCCCAGAAGUAUUGCACAGUUAGAAAUACCUACUCCUGAACGAUUAUUACCGAUAGGACAAUAUGGUAAAGAUGGUAUUUGUACGUUAGUUGACAAAGUAAGAGAAGCAUUGACUAUUUCCGAUAUAAGUCACCUGAAACACGGCAGCCUCGAUAUAUCAGACAGUGCUGCCAGCAAUAAAGAUGACUUGAGCAGUCGUUGCGCUUCACCGCGUAAAUUAAUCAAGCAAGUGGCAUUGGAAUCUCCUCCGCUAGCAGAUGACGCUCACAACACCAUUCUACGAAGUGUUUCAGCAGAUGUUAAAACAGAGGCGCAUAGCCGCGAUGGAACCAAACAAACUAGACAAAGACUACGUAAAGUAGGACCAUUCGCCAUCGGUUCAAUAAGUACGUCUGACAGCACGAUGCGAUACGCUGGAUUGUGGGCCCCUUCUAGCAGAGAGGACUCAGAUGGAGAAGAUACCCAGUUGGGUAACAAUAGCUCAGAAAAACCGAGUGUGUCAAGAGUUGGAGACGAAUGCAUCUGUGAAAGAUGUUCCGAAUGCGGCGCUGUUAAAGAAGAAUAUACAGAUGAAGAGAUGGGAAUAAUGCUUAUAAUUUUAGGUACAUUCAUCCAUCGAGAACCAUCACUCGCCGCUCCGUUUUUACCAGAUAUCUUGGCUAUUGUUUCCAAAGUUGCUCUUCAUUCUACAUUUCCGUGGCAGUGUGAAAGUGCGACUCAUCUUCCAGGAGGAUCCCAAUCAGUAGCACAUCAAUUUAUUCGGUGUGUUUUGCAUCAGUUGGCUCCAAAUGGCGUGUUUUAUCAAAUAUUUUUAACACAAGCAAAUGAAACCGUACGCAGGAAGUUCUAUAAAAGUGUAGCUAUUAGCUUGAAUGACUUCACGGAGCUCAACCCGAUCAGUCCUGUGCAACUGUUGGUAGAAACUCUUAACUCCAAGAAAACGCUUCCGGUUGAUAUGCUCCCAAUUAUACUGAGAAAUUUAUCGGAAUAUCUGCAAAGUUUACCGAUAGAUAACAUCAGUGCGAAUAUUUGGGCUACAGCAGUGCAAGGAGUCGAUAGCCUUUUCCGAAGAAUUGUUUUCAUUCUUCCAAGUCUUGAUGAAGCAGAUAAUUUGCUAUGCAUAAUGACAUCGAUGCUUAAAGUUCCACAACUUUCAAAGGUAAUGUAUGCUAAAGAUCACUCCAUGGAAUGUAACCUAAAUCACCCCCUAGUCAUUUCUUCCCCACAAUCUUUGACAAUUCUGCCGGGUUAAUUUAGGCACCCAUUCAUUGCUAUCUCGUUUACUCUCAUGGAUAACGAAAAUAUCAGAGCGAAAAGUAUAAGGUUAGCUUUAGCGCUAGGGGCACGCAAUGACUAAGGCUCUGAACCAUUUGGUGGAUUAUUUUAACUUUUGGUUAAAAUUUGACAGAUUGAAAGUUAUCGAUUAAGGCUCUGAACCAUUUGGCGAAUUUUUUUAACUUUUGGUUAAAAUUUGACAGAUGGAAAGUUAUUGAUUAACCCUGCUAUCCGAGCAUGGUUAUUUCUGACAGACAAGAAGUUAAAUUUUGACAACCGUGGCUGAGUUCUGCUCGAAAACCGAUCGAUCGGUAGCACAGGGAUUUUCGAACAUAAGAAAUAACUUUCGAAAUGUCACUUUUAACCACGAGUUAAAUUUAACUCGGCAAAUGGUUCACAGCCUAACCCUGCUAUCCGAGCGUGGUUACUUCUGACAGACAAGAAGUUAAAUUUUGACAACCUUGGCUAAGGCUCUGAACCAUUUGGCGAUUUUUUUAACUUCUGGUUAAAAUUUGACAGAUGGAAAGUUAUUGAUUAACCCUGCUAUCCAAGCAUGGUUAUUUCUGACAGACAAGAAGUUAAAUUUUAACAACCGUGGCUGAGUUCUUAUCGAAAAUCGGUUAACCAAAAGUCAAAAAAUAAUCGCCAAAUGGUUCAGAGCCUUAGGCUGUGAACCAUUUGCCGGGUUAAAUUUAACUCGUGGUUAAAAGUGACAUUUCGAAAGUUAUUUUCUAUGUUCGAAAAUCCCUGUGUUGUCGAUCGACCAGUUUUCGAGAAGAACUUAGGCUGUGAACCAUUUGCCGAGUUAAAUUUAACUCGUGGUUAAAAGUAACAUUUCAAAAGUUAUUUUCUAUGUUCGAAAAUCCCCAUUAGGUUUUGCACCGUCGGGGUUAACCUCAAUCUGAUGACAGUUCAGUGGUACUGUUUACGUGGACUUAGUCGAUUUUUUCUUGGGUGGAUUUUCUCGAUAAUUUUUCAGACUGCAGUGAGAUGUAAACAGCAUUUCUGUAAUGUUCACGAGCAACAUCCUUGCAACGCGCUGUUCCUCGACAAUUUUCAAGUUAAAAUUCAAAAAAAUUAGAAAUUUUUUUUCGAAA